rnacentral:rRNA from 1 species
UGGCGAACGGGUGAGUAACAUAUCGGAACGUACCGGGUAGCGGGGGAUAACUGAUCGAAAGAUCAGCUAAUACCGCAUACGUCUUGAGAGGGAAAGCAGGGGACCUUCGGGCCUUGCGCUAUCCGAGCGGCCGAUAUCUGAUUAGCUGGUUGGCGGGGUAAAGGCCCACCAAGGCGACGAUCAGUAGCGGGUCUGAGAGGAUGAUCCGCCACACUGGGGACUGAGACACGGCCCAGACUCCUACGGGAGGCAGCAGCC